rnacentral:rRNA from 1 species
UACGGAGGUUGCAAGCAUUGUUCGGAAUGACUGGGCGUAAAGGGAGCGCAGGCGGCCAAGUCAGUCUGAAGUGAAAGCCCGGGGCUUAACCCCGGAAUAGCUUUGGAUACUGCCUGGCUUGAGUGUGCGAUAGGAAAGCGGAAUUCCAGGUGUAGCGGUGAAAUGCGUAGAUAUCUGGAGGAACACCGGUGGCGAAAGCGGCUUUCUGGCGCAUAACUGACGCUGAGGCACGAAAGCGUGGGGAUCGAACAGGAUUAGAUA